ACUCGUACGUACCUACGUUGCCUAUUCAUGAAUUACAUAAUGUUGAGAAGCAAUGAAUAUUUCACUAUGAGAGACUAGAGACAUGGGCUUCACUUCAGUUCGCUUCAAAUUGUAGGUUCGUAUUACGAAAUGCAAUUGGCUUUC
ensembl:ncRNA T02E9.20 ncRNA